UACGGAGGGUGCAAGCGUUAUCCGGAUUCACUGGGUUUAAAGGGUGCGUAGGUGGCUUUGUAAGUCAGUGGUGAAAGCCCGGAGCUCAACUCCGGAACUGCCAUUGAUACUGCUUAGCUUGAAUCAGGUCGAGGUGGAUGGAAUAUUACAUGUAGCGGUGAAAUGCUUAGAUAUGUCACAGAACACCAAUUGCGAAGGCAGCUUACUAAGGUAUGAUUGACGCUGAGGCACGAAAGCGUGGGGAUCAAACAGG
rnacentral:rRNA from 1 species